CCCUCCCCUGCUGCAUCCCACCCCCAUCCAUAGUAUGUGUAAUAGUAAUUUUCUUACUACCCCACCAAACCUAAACUACCGGUAAUCUAUUUACUCACCUAUUUUGCAAUAUGUAUAUUAGGAUGCAACGGACCAUCCCAUCCUAUUUUCCUGGAUCUAGAGUCCAUCCACUCCCAUGCCGGUUUUCCCGCAUCGACCAAGAGGGAGAGGGCACGGGAGAAGGCUGGCGGUGGAAGUGUCCUCCAGCGACGGGCGGCGGACGAUGGGCGAAAUCGGUUAAUGACGAGUGAAAUCGGUCGGAGGUGGCGAUGGUCGCGGGUCGCCGACGUCCUUUGCGCCGAGCCAUGGAGAGGUGAGGUGGUUCUGGCUAUUUUCCUCGCUCGAUCUGGUGCUCCCUUCCCCACCCCGCCCAUGAAUCGGCGUCGACAUCGACAGGAUCUCUUGAGGAGGAGGGGGCGGUUGACGGCGGGAUGCGGGGAGGAGCAUCCGGCUGCGUUGACCACACCCUGAUUCCUCCCUCGAAGGAUCUGGCACGGAUCAGGCCUCCCAUCGCUGCCUCCCUCCCACAGCGGUGGCGUCAUGAUCUGUGAUGCACGAUGAUAAUGAGGUCUGCACUCGUGCCGGUCGGCAGCAGGCGCUGGAGACCCUGGCCACGCAAAGCAGGCAUGGGGAUGGCGGUCAGGACCGAUGGAUGGAUGGAUGUCAAUUCGUAUGUGUUCCAAUGAAAGUCAGGAUGUUUUAUUUGUUUUAUUUUCUCUCCAUGUUCUAUCUACUCAAUCAAUCUCUAUAGGCAAUAGCUACUUGUUUUUCUUUGAGGAAGCAUAGCUGCCAUGUUUGAUCAAUUAAUUGCAGCUUAUUUGCGGGCGCCAGAUAUGUGUGGUGAUUGCUUGUGUUCGUUGAUGCGCUGUAUAACAUACAUGCAUGUUCCAUCGAUCCAUUGUAGAUCAAUUUGUAGUGAAUGCUAGAUCAUUCUGAAUUUAUGAUUAUUCUUUUCAUUAAGAACAUUCGGUCCAUUUUUAUUCUUGAAAUCGUUUUUCAUCUGAAAAGAUGGCAGGUUUUGUGUAGCUUAUAACUUGUAUGUUAUUAAUCAGAGAUAUAUGGAUAUUUUAGCCUGAAGUAUCCCAAUUACCUAUUCUACAUUUUUCAGCCAACUGCAUUCUUAAUUUUCUUUUUUGUAGAAUGUCAUCGAUCACAGAUCGGGACUAGGCAAGCCCAGGAACUACCGUUAAGGAAACAUAAUGUGACAUCCAUGCUUGUCUGAAUAAAAAAUGAUCUGUUGGCUAAAAGUAGGCAUGAAGGAACCUAAACUGGUAGUUCAAUUUUUUAUAAAGCAUUUUAUUUCUUCUUCGGCGAAUCAUAUCUCAUUUAGAGUCAUUUAUGAGUGUAAAUUAAAGACUUCUCUUAGAUGAUGUAAUCGUUUUUGUUUAUAUCCAGGUGGCUGUGGGAUGCCUCUCUAGAUGUUCGUGGGUGAUGGAUAUCUGUCGAUGGGAGACCUAAGGAUCUAUAGUGCUUUGUCGGCUCAACAUCGAUAUGUGGCACUAGCGCCGUCUUGUUUGUUGGAUUCGUGCAUGUAAUAGUAAUUUAGUUACUAAGAGACAUUAAGAAUCAUCGGUGUAAUAGUAACUUGGUUACUAAGAGAUUUUUUUGGCAAUAUCAAUAUGUUAUGUUGAGAUUGGUGUAAUAGUAAUUUAUUUACUAAGAGAAAUCUUGUGAUGA